rnacentral:rRNA from 1 species
AACGUAGGACACAAGCGUUGUCCGGAUUUACUGGGCGUAAAGAGCGCGCAGGCGGUCGAUCAAGUCGAGUGUGAAAGCCCCCGGCUCAACUGGGGAGGGUCAUUCGAUACUGAUCGACUCGAAGGCAGGAGAGGGUAGUGGAAUUCCCGGUGUAGCGGUGAAAUGCGCAGAUAUCGGGAGGAACACCAAUGGCGAAGGCAGCUCGCUGGGACGUUACUGACGCUGAGACGCGAAAGCGUGGGGAGCAAACAGG